rnacentral:rRNA from 1 species
CUUGACCUGAUUGUGAGCAUGGUCCUUUUGGGUUGCCUUCGUCAUAGCAACUGAUAGGAUGAAUUAAGGAGAAAGAAGAUUAAGUAUGAUUUAUUAAUAUAUUAUAUGAAUAAUAUAUUAAAAGAGAAAUCAUAUUGUUUAAUUAAUAUUAGUCAAGAAUUAAUUUUGUGGCUAAAAGAGAUUAAUUAAAUACAGGGGACUGAUAUUGCAAUUAUAUGAUAGUUGUACUUAGGCUAUAGAUUCCUAAUGGAAAGAGGAUUGGACGAAAUCUAUGGGAAGCCCAUAUGGAUUUCGUCCAAGGGCUUAGGGCCUAAGCAGUCAGAUUAGAGUUUCGUGGUUGAAAACCUUAAUAGCCUAAGUAUAGAAGGAACCAUUGGCAAGCCAAAAACGUCCCUAACCUUAUAAGAUAAACCCUAGGACGUUUUUGGUGCCUCCUCCCUCUCUCCUUGUUCGUCUUGUUACAUAUGGUGUUUGUGACUCCAUUAGAGGUGCAACAUUUAAGGCACUAAGCUUUCAAAAGUCAACAUCAAAAGGAAUUAAGAUUGUUAGUGCUACAUAACAAUCAAUGUAAGAUCUAAACCCUAAUUCAUAUGUUAAUUCGGUUAUUGUAUGCUAGAUCUAGGGUUUAUGAGCUUUGGAUGAUUACUGCAUGUUCAUUAGACAAAAUAAAUCCAAAGCUUUAGGGUUUGCAUGUAUAGUUGUACACCAUAGGAUUGAUGUAGUGCUCAAAACCCAUCAUUCUAUUCAUGAAGUAGUUAGCUAAUAUUAGUAGGGUUUCUUCAACGGCUGAUGAGAGGGUAAGGUGGGAAUCAUACAAAUUGCUCCAUGGGUUGUAACAUAUAUAUAUAUAUAUAUAUAUAUAUAUAUAUAUAUAUAUAUUAUUUUAAUAUAAUAUUAUAUAAUUAAAAUCAUACAAAUUUACAAUAAAUAAAUUACAAAAUUAAAAUUAAGUUAAAAUAUUUAAAAUAAUGUUGCCUUCUAGUACUGAAAAUAAAAUAUUACAAAAUUAAAUUUACGAGAUGAUAAGAAUUUCUUAACAUUAUAAAACCUCGUCUAUUUUUAGCAUCCCAUAUUAGUUGAGAAUAUUCGUAAAUACCUUCCAAAUUAUUAGUUAUACGUAGGAAUAAACACCUACUGAUACGAAAACGACGUUUGGAUUGAAUAUGUUUGUAUAAACAAUCAUCGGAAAGUAAUCACGUACCAAAAAUGUGUGUGUGUGUGAUGUUACGAUCCAUGCUUAUUUAAAUUCUAAUAUUCCUGAUGGCGUUUGAAGUUUCAGCUUGUUGAUCCAACAUGGUAACUGACGUUUAUAGGAAUGAGUGAAGAAACAUAUCAUCCCCGUCCAAUGAAGAUGAAGAUAAAAAAUUGAUCAUCAUUUAAUUGUGGUUGUGUAGCAUGUAUAGCAAUUUUUGUAAAAAAGAUAUGGUAUUUGUAGUGUGAAAGUAAAAUAAGAUAUUGUAUUUUUUAAUAUCAAUUUUUUUGUUUAAAUGCAUGAAAAGGUCAAAAAGACUCUCUCUUUCUCUCUCUCUCUCUCUCUCUCUCUCUCUCUCUCUCUCUCUCUUGGGCGUGGGACAACUCUCUCUGGGGAACUCUACAAAAUAGCCAUGUAACUUCGAGAGAAGGGGUGCCUCCUCACAAAGGGGGUCGCAGUGACCAGGCCCAGGCGACUGUUUAUUGAAAACACAGGUCUCCGCAAAGUCGUAAGACCAUGUAUGGGGGCUGACGCCUGCCCAGUGUCGGAAGGUCAAGGAAGUUGGUGACCUGAUGAUAGGGGAGCUGACGACCGAAGCCCCGGUGAACGGCGGCCGUAACUAUAACGGUCCUAAGGUAGUGAAAUUCCUUGUUGGGUAAGUUUCGACCCGCACGAAAGGCGUAACGAUCUGGGCACUGUCUCGGAGAGAGACUCGGUGAAAUAGACAUGUCUGUGAAGAUGCGGACUACCUGCAACUGGACAGAAAGACCCUAUGAAGCUUCACUGUUCUCUGGGAUUGGCUUUGGGCUUUUCCUGCGCAGCUUAGGUGGAAGGCGAAGAAGGCCUCCUUCCGGGGGGCCGGAGCCAUCAGUGAGAUACCACUCUGGAAGAGCUAGAAUUCUAACCUUGUGUCAGGACGUACGAGCCAAGGGACAGUCUCAGGUAGACAAUUUCUAUGGGGCGUAGGCCUCCCAAAAGGUAACGGAGGCGUGCAAAGGUUUCCUUGGGUCGAACGGAGAUUGGCCCUCGAGUGCAAAGGCAUAAGGGAGCUUGACUGCAAGACCCACCCGUCGAGCAGGGACGAAAGUCGGCCUUAGUGACCUGAUGGUGCCGAGUGGAAGGGUUGUCGCUCUACGGAUAAAAGUUACUCUAGGGAUAACAUACUGAUCUUCCCCAAGAGCGCACAUCGACGGGAAGGUUUGGCACCUCGAUGUCGGCUCUUCGCACCUGGGGCUAUAGUAUGUUCCAAGGGUUGGGUUGUUCGCCCAUUAAAGCAGUACGUGAGCUGGGUUCAGAACGUCGUGAGACAGUUCGGUCCAUAUCCGGUGUGGGCGUUAGAGCAUUGAGAGGACAUUUCCCUAGUACAAGAGGACCGGGAAGGACGCACCUCUAGUGUACCAGUUAUUGUGCCCACGAUAAACGUUGGGUAGCCAAGUGCGGAGCGGAUAACUGCUGAAAGCAUCUAAGUAGUAAGCCCACCUCAAGAUGAGUGCUCUUCUGUUCCUACUUUCCCAGAGCCUUCGGUAGCACAGCCGAGACAGCGACGGGUUCUCUGCCCCUGCGGGGAUGAAGCGACAGAAGUUUUGAGAAUUCAAGAGGCCACGACGAGACAAGCCGUUUAUCAUUACAAUAGGUCUCUCUCUCUCUC